AUGGAGCCAUCACAGCAGAAGACCAUGAGCCCAGUGAUGGAGUCUGCCAAGGGCUUUGUGCUUGGAGCCAUGGCUGGAGGUACUCUGGGAGCCACAGAGGUACCGCUGAAUCAAAUUAUGUCACAGAUAAUCUCAGGUGCCCAAAUGAAGCCCGUUAUGUCUGGCGUUAAGAGCAUCGGGGCUCUGGGACUGGGUGCACUUCUAGGAACUACUGCACUCAUCACAUCAAUGGCAUUGGUGGUAACGGGGGUCACUGUAGCUGCUUCUGUGGCCUUGUGUCUAUUGAGAUUGAGGAAGAAUGAAGGAUGGGUGGCAGCAGGAUUGGCCGCGGCUCUCACCACGACUUCAAGCGGGGCAGCACUAGGGACCAUCAUUGAAAAUCUGAGCAUGAGCUACGGGAUGGUCAGCCUGCUCUGGGCUUUGGGGAUUUUUACAGUUCUGAAACUAUUGAUGCACUUCUUUGUCAAGCAUACAUGCACAGAACGGGAAUUCUGUGGAUCAAUCGCUGAUGCUACUAAGAGAGAACAAGCAAGACUACUUGCUUUGGAAAUAGAUCUAAGACGGCGGGCUGCAUUGGAAUUGGAAAAGCGGAUUGAGGCCUGCGAGAUGAAGAAACCAGAAGAGGAUGGUCUGGCUGCUUGGGAGGCCCAACGAAGAGAAAGAGAAGAAAUAAAGAGACAGCAAAGGAAGGCUGUUGAGUUGGAAAUGCAGCAGAGGACUUCUCGACAACGCCUGCUGAACGCGGUGGCCAAAUACAUGGAGUUUCUUGCAUUUUCUGACAUUCCGAUGACUGUGACUGCUUUUGUGACUGCUGGCUUUGGCAUCUUUGGCUUUGGAGAUUACAGAUUUGUUUUUGUUGUCCUGUUAGUCAUGGUGUUAUGCAUGUCAUUUUGGCUCAUGAGUUCUUGGCGUUUGAACUUUUGGAUGCUAAUGGGAUGCAUGGGAAUGUUUGCCACAUUUGCCAUUGCCGUGCUGACUGUUCAUGCCGGGCAGGAGGUGGCAGGCAUGUCUGUCAAAAUGCGCUUUGCAGGACAAAACAUGAGCAAGGAGAACAUCAGCAUCCGUAUGACUCAUGCAUCCUCCGUACAGGCAAUUUCUGCAGGAUUCUUUGUCUCAGAAGUCUGUCAGGUUGGUUUAGGGGCCACAGUCGGUGGUCCAGUGGCACGAGAGGCAGGAGGAAAGGUGAUUUUGGGGGCGUCUGUAACCGCUGUGGUUGUUUUGUCGAUAGUUGAAGCGUCGACACAGAUGCUGGGAGUCGGUGGUAAGGCGGGGGCUUUGCUGGGGGCGGCUGGAGCUGCUGGUGUGUCCAUGGGAGGCGCUGCAGCCAUAGCUGUGAAAUCAUCCACAUGGGGAGGAACAAUGGGAACCACUGCUGGGAUGAUCUUUGGCUUAUUGGUGUUUAGAAAGUGGGACAUUGUUAACAUAGGGCUUCAGAUAUUUGUGGCAUACCUGUUUGCCAUGACAAAUCUUUACUGAAAUGCUAUGAUGUAACUGCUCUUUUUAGUAUGGUACUACAGUGGGCAUGGAAAGAAUCAGCAUCAAUAAAAUUGCUUCCUUCUUUUUCUGUUCUCACUAUAUAAAAUGUUUUGUUCUCUAUAUUUGCUCUCUCUCUCUCUCUCUCUCUUUAUAUAUAUAUAUAUAUAUAUAUAUAUAUAUAUAUAUAUAUAUAUAUAUAUAUGUUUUUUUGUGUACUUUUUUUGACCAUUAUUUCAUAUAUCAGGCUUCACAGGGUUAAAACAGGAUUAAAUUUUUUAAUAGGCAAAAAAAAAACAUUUAAGUAGUGUAGAAAUAAGGGAAAGGUAACAACUUUACUAAACAGAACUCUAUAAAUUAAGAUAAUACAAAUGAACAAUAAGAGACUAUAGUGACAGCUGUCAAAUAUUAAAAUGAAUUUGUCAGAAUCAAAAUUUCCCAGUGAGAAAAAUGGUGUGAAUGACUUUGUGUAUGUAAAUAACAAUAUGCAGUUAUUUUGGUCAUUAUUGUAAAACAAACGCUACAUGUUGUGCCUGUACUUAUUGACCUAAUUAUAUGCUACUUUCUUUCCACUUUCUGUUUCAUAUUUUUUAAUUUCCUCUUACCUUUUAAAGGGUUGAUCCCAAUCAGGAGAUGCAAUGUUUGCUUUUGAAAUCAUUUGUACUUUUUAUUAAAAUACUUUUAUUUCAUUUGGUCUGCUUUUUGUUAUUUCGAUAUGUUGUUUGGUAUAAAACUAUUUUAUUGUAUGUUUGCACAUGACCACACUCGUCACACAGCUAUAGAAUACCAUAUGUAGGAGAAAGAGCCUGUUUAUUUGUCUACAUUUUCUGGAAAAUGUAUUUUAUUGAGUACUAGAAAUGUUUAACCUCGGAUCAAAAUAUGAAUAAAUAAAAUAAAAUAAAUGAAAAUAAAUGACACAAGUUAACACAUAUGACUUUUCUGGCCAAAUACUAUAUUACUAUAGUAAUUCGAUAUAUAUGGCCUGAAGUUGUGUUUGACAAUUUCAAAAUGUUAAGUGUCCACUAGAGGGUGGUAAACACCAUGAUAAUCUGUGUGACUGACUUCUGCCAUCCUACAUAAAGAUCAAUCAGCACAAAUAUCUGUCAUUCCAACUGGUCAUAUUCUAACCUAAUCAUGAUCAAUGUAAGUGUGACCUUUUACUACAUCUAGAGCAUUGUUCUUCAUGGAUACAGUAGAAAUGCACACCGACAAUUUUCACUCGGGUAUUGCAACUCUUAAUGAUAAAGAAACUGCAAGUAACAGAUUGGUUUAAAUAGAAACAGUUUAUCACAUUUAUUAAAUAAAUCACAUUUAAAUUGUUAUAUACUAUUAUAGUGAUUCAUCAUUAGUGUUAUCAAAAUGCAGUCAUCAGGUUGCGUAAAAGAACACAAAACGUUCACAGAACAUGCUGUGGUGUGUGAGCAGUUCAGACUGACACUCCUGAACUGAAAGUGAGAGCAGUUGUGUCCAUCUCUGGAGGUCUGUGCUCUCAGGUGUUGGCCAGUGGUCUCUUACUUUGAGUGUCUGGCUUGAAUGAUGGAUUGCGGUAAUUGUCCACCCAUGUCUUUCUCAUGGUCUCUGAAAAACUCAUCCAGCAAGGUUUUGACAGGGGUUAGUUAUUCUGCCAGCUGGGAACGAUCAUGGAUGAGUCUGUUUUGAUCUUCCUACAUAACACACAGUUACACAAUACACAAAAAUGUCAGUUUCAUUACAGAUUAAAAGCAGAUUUCAAACUGAAUACAAAACUCUCAGAAGAUGCAUUUUGUGUUUUAAAAAAGCUCUCCUCUGCAUGUGUACGUGUGAGACUCGCUGGCACUGAGCGUCAGAGCGUGCUCAGAAUCCUCAGACAACAGCAUCACUGUUCACAUAGCAACAAUGCUUGUCUGUGUGAAUCUAGCAUGUCAUAACGCUACGCUUGCUCUGUUUCUUGCUGUAAUUUUCCCUUUUAUCAAGUACACUAACAUUUGGGAAAAGGUUGGGGGUGGGGGUAUUUGGUCUUGGCUGAAAUUAUGUCAGGUCAUGAUUUGUGUCAGUGUUAUUGAUAAUAAGAUAAUAUAGUUUUUAUGAAUAUUUUGAAUUCAAUGAUUUUAUAUCUUCUGGGUUUAAUAUAUUUUAUUUUACCUGGAUAUUUUCAUGGGGGUGGGCAUGGGGGCCCAUCAGGACUGCCUAUGCAUAGGGCCCGGGAUCUUGUGCAAUGCCCCUGGGUUUACAGUAGGUUUAGCUAACUACAAUAACCCAUUUUAUUUUAAUAUUGAAAGUCUUGAGGAUAAUAAAAUCUACAUAGCAAAAAUAUAUUAAAUGACGAAGGCAUGGUAAAAAGGUUCUAAGAAAGUUUUAAUGUGACCUUCAAAAAUGGGAAUAAAUGUGCCAGGGUUGAAAAUGCCUGCAUGCAAAUUGAGGAUGCUGAUGCACACAGUUCCAGUGUUUGUGUACAUUCAUAACUGUAUCAUUGAGUUUGACCUCUUUAGGACAUAGAAACAUAUUUUCCCAGCAGAUGCUUCACUGUUGGAUCUUUCCUGUGGACUGUUCCCUUGGUUGAAGCAAGGAAGAACAAAGAAGAGGACAGGCAUGUGUUAUUGAUGUUAUUGGCUUUUAUAACCCAGCAAGACAGAGUUGAGAAGAAAGGGCCCUUGGUUACAUUGUAAGUGAUUUGUUAGAAAAGUAUUUGCGUUGGCCGCAGUACAAACGCAUCACAUGACGAAUGCCUUAUGUUAAUAAUACGUAAUGUAUUACAACAGUGGUAUUGGCGAUUCUUUUAUGGCUCUUUCCCCAAAGCACAUCUCCUCUGACCCUGUUAACACUAGUGAAGAACUGAAGCAUGUCAUAAAGAAGGAGCCGCUCCCCAGCUCAGGUCCAAAGGCUGAACGAUAGCACACAUCUGCAGCCACUUCUCACUGCACACAGAAGACAAAUCUCCAGCUUUACAUUAACUUUAUUAGAAAGAUUAAUCAAACUUUAUUUUAAGGACCAAUUCUUACAAUUAACUGCUUAUUAACUAAGAAUUUUAUUUUAUUUUUUGCCUCAAUAAACCCCUAAUUUGCUGCUUAAUAAUAG
ensembl:lncRNA